AUUGAACGCUGGCGGCAUGCUUUACACAUGCAAGUCGAACGGUAACGGGCCUUCGGGUGCUGACGAGUGGCGAACGGGUGAGUAAUGCAUCGGAACGUGCCCAGCGGUGGGGGAUAACGCAGCGAAAGCUGUGCUAAUACCGCAUGUGAUCUGAGGAUGAAAGCGGGGGACCAAGCAGCAAUGUUUGGCCUCGCGCCUCUGGAGCGGCCGAUGUCAGAUUAGGUAGUUGGUGGGGUAAAGGCCUACCAAGCCGACGAUCUGUAGCUGGUCUGAGAGGACGACCAGCCACACUGGGACUGAGACACGGCCCAGACUCCUACGGGAGGCAGCAGUGGGGAAUUUUGGACAAUGGGCGCAAGCCUGAUCCAGCAAUGCCGCGUGCGGGAAGAAGGCCUUCGGGUUGUAAACCGCUUUUGUACGGAACGAAAAGGCUCUGGCUAAUACCUGGGGCUGAUGACGGUACCGUAAGAAUAAGCACCGGCUAACUACGUG
rnacentral:rRNA from 1 species